AAACAGGUGAGACAUCUGACUACAUACUUCUACAGAGCUGCAUAUAUAUAUUUGUCACUCAGUGACAAUCUGCCUGAUGCUCCUCAACAAUAAAUGUCAGCAUGUGUGUUGAGUAGAAUGCCUUCAACCUCAGGACAGCCUCUGCACAGGACUGUGUAUCAUAGGGAACAGGGAUGACAACUUGCUGGGAUGCAGUCCAGAUGAACACCUUACUUUCUCUCAGUCCUGUGCGAAACAGACCAAUUUGUACCUGCAUGUUGUAGCCACGUGGCCCAUGUGGUUGCAGUCGAGGUGUAGUCCUCCAUCACCUUCACAUCACUUUCCUAUUGAAGACAUCAUCCAGAAAAUCACAGCCUCUACCCCAUGACAGGACACUUGAUCUUCAACAACUCCUUGGAUUUCAGUAUUCCACCAGGGCUUGCUGAUAACCAUGGCUCUUCAACACUGACAUCAGUGCCUCUGUGGUCCACAGAGUAUCCACAUUCUUCCAGCCACUGGGAGCUCAUUAUCUUCAAAUACAUUGAAAAUGGUACAGCCAUAAAUAAAUAUUCCUUUCCGUCCAAUUUUACCUGGGAUGCUACUGGCUGUGAUGUUAUUGUCGGUUCAGCAUUAACACACUCAUAGAGCAGAUUCCCCACAGGCAGAUGCAGGUGUCUCAGGCUCCUAUUAAAUUCCUCCUGUGAGUGGAAUGCAGGAGUGGGAACCAGGGGUGGGAGGCAGGGGUGGGAGGCAGGAGUGGGAACCAGAGGUGGACAUUCCGGACGCUUUUCUGCAUAUUGGUCACUGGCCUUAUGGUGUGGGAAGUCAAUGCUGUUUAACCACUUUGGCUCAAGGUUCCUCCGAGUCCCUGAACUCCAUUGUCACUGCUCAUCUGAGCAGGCUAUGCCAGUUAGCCCCUUGGACACGGCAUUCUGCACCUGCGAUAGAAUGUUUGUUAGAACAACAACAAAAAUGCGUUCAGAGAAAAGCCCAUUAUUAACAAUUUGGUGACGGAGGACUAUGUGAUCAACUUCAUCAAAACACACAUGCAAGUUUCAUCAUAAACUUACAUUGCUAUUGUUCCCAAUGAGAUGAGACCACUUAGUAUACUUACCAUACUUUAGGC
ensembl:lncRNA